rnacentral:rRNA from 1 species
ACGCUGGCGGCGUGCCUAAUACAUGCAAGUAGAACGCUGAAGAGAGGAGCUUGCUCUUCUUGGAUGAGUUGCGAACGGGUGAGUAACGCGUAGGUAACCUGCCUUGUAGCGGGGGAUAACUAUUGGAAACGAUAGCUAAUACCGCAUAACAAUGGAUGACCCAUGUCAUUUAUUUGAAAGGGGCAAAUGCUCCACUACAAGAUGGACCUGCGUUGUAUUAGCUAGUAGGUGAGGUAACGGCUCACCUAGGCGACGAUACAUAGCCGACCUGAGAGGGUGAUCGGCCACACUGGGACUGAGACACGGCCCAGACUCCUACGGGAGGCAGCAGUAGGGAAUCUUCGGCAAUGGGGGCAACCCUGACCGAGCAACGCCGCGUGAGUGAAGAAGGUUUUCGGAUCGUAAAGCUCUGUUGUAAGUCAAGAACGAGUGUGAGAGUGGAAAGUUCACACUGUGACGGUAGCUUACCAGAAAGGGACGGCUAACUACGUGCCAGCAGCCGCGGUAAUACGUAGGUCCCGAGCGCUGUCCGGAUUUAUUGGGCGUAAAGCGAGCGCAGGCGGUUUGAUAAGUCUGAAGUUAAAGGCUGUGGCUCAACCAUAGUUCGCUUUGGAAACUGUCAAACUUGAGUGCAGAAGGGGAGAGUGGAAUUCCAUGUGUAGCGGUGAAAUGCGUAGAUAUAUGGAGGAACACCGGUGGCGAAAGCGGCUCUCUGGUCUGUAACUGACGCUGAGGCUCGAAAGCGUGGGGAGCGAACAGGAUUAGAUACCCUGGUAGUCCACGCCGUAAACGAUGAGUGCUAGGUGUUGGAUCCUUUCCGGGAUUCAGUGCCGCAGCUAACGCAUUAAGCACUCCGCCUGGGGAGUACGACCGCAAGGUUGAAACUCAAAGGAAUUGACGGGGGCCCGCA